GAGCGCGCACACGGAGAGAAUGAGAAUGAGCGCGUGCGACACGCCGCGGGCUGUCAUGAGACUCCGCAUGGAAAUUCACCACAGACUCAACAUGAAGUUUAUUCCGCUGAAGUGAUGAACUGUCCACUGAUGGAGACCCGAGCGCAAAGUCUGUUUGUGCAAUUGAUUGUGGCAAUUUCAGUCCCCAAACCGUCACCGCAACCACAGUCCCAAGACACCGCACCAAAACUGCCCACAUCAAUUGCAGUCCAAUGCCAUCUUCACGGCUUCCAAGUGUGUCCCCAGGCUGUCCAUAUGGGGCCAUCCUCAACAACAGUGAGUGGCCUCCAAGCAACGAGACCUCCAGAAUCAGGGCACCAGGAUGAUUCAGAUCUGUCCAGAGAGGAG
ensembl:lncRNA